rnacentral:rRNA from 1 species
AUUGAACGCUGGCGGCAGGCCUAACACAUGCAAGUCGAGCGAGCGGCGAACGGGUGAGUAAUGUAUGGGGACUGCCAGAAAGAGGGGGAUAACUACUGGAAACGAUGGCUAAUACCGCCUCCUAUCGGAUAAAACAUAUGGGAUUAGCUAGUAGGUGGGGUAAAGGCUCACCUAGGAGAAGAUUUCUAGCUGGUCUGAGAGGAUGAUCAGCCACACUUGGACUGAGACACGGCCCAGUCUCCUACGGAGGCAGCAGUGGGGAAUAGUGCACAAUGGGCGAAAUCCUGAUGCAGCCGUGCCGCGUGUAUGAAGAAGGCCUUAGGGUUGUAAAGUACUUGCAGCGGGGAGGCGUUACCCGCAGAAGAAGCACCGGCUAACUCCGUGCCAGCAGCCGCGGUAAUUC